AUAAGUUUUCCAUAAGCUUCGAUCAUCUCCCCAAUAAACCCAGAGCCUCCUUCUCUCCCGCUAAGCAAAAGAAAAUCAAGGAGGCCUGCAACUUCGUUUGCAGUCCGCCACUGCAAAUCAGUCUGGAAACUGGAUUCAAAGGUCAUAUUUUUCACUUUCUGGAUGUGCAAAGUCUGGAUAGUACACAUCACCGGACCAAACCUUUAUCAGCAGAAUUGCGGAUUUCUAAAUCGAAAAGGAGAAAUAAACACUACAGCAGUUUAUGCAGAAGGAGCAUGUAAAAGAGAAGCACAGGUAAAGGUUUAUGAGGUGAGGACAACACACUUAUCGGGGCAAUGUCGGGAUGUUUAGGCUUGGGUGGAGACAUGGACUUAUGGAAGAGGUGAAGUAGCUUAGGUUUCUGUCAUUAGCUUUAUCUGUUCUAUGCAUCUCUGCAAUCUUACAAUGCUCCUUUAUUUAAUUGCAAGAUGUUGGGGACCGGUUACUGGAAUACAAGAUUUGGAACAAAAGUGGUUGACAAUGCAAGAGUCGAAAGCAAGUGUGAAAUUCACAUUGAAAAUGACAGGAGAGGGUUACGCAUGAUCCGUAGCUUCAUUCAACCUCGCUGUUUUCGUUAGAAUCACAAUUAAAGUGUUCAUGUAUAACGAGAACUCUCAUUGCAUCAACUUGAACAAACAUUCUUCUACUUAGUUGCUUAGCUGCUGCAACAAGAACGAAACACUUUUUAUGUGUUUUUGUUUAACUGCUAAAACAGGUGAUUGGCCUCCAGGACAUAUAUUUUGCCAUCUUAACUUUAAAGGCAAUACAUAUGUAAAAUGCAUGUUGCUUAGGGAAACAGAGCAUUUUUUGCAACCACAUCUUUUGUAAUCAGCUUAGUUGAAUGUAUAUAAAAGUUAAGCUACUUAUCUUACCUACA